rnacentral:rRNA from 1 species
AGCGAACGCUGGCGGCAGGCUUAACACAUGCAAGUCGAACGGACCCUUCGGGGUUAGUGGCGGACGGGUGAGUAACACGUGGGAAUGUGCCUUUAGGUUCGGAACAACACAGGGAAACUUGUGCUAAUACCGGAUGUGCCCUUCGGGGAAAGGAUUUAUCGCCUUUAGUAGCAGCCCGCGUCUGAUUAGCUUGUUGGUGAGGUAAAGGCUCACCAAGGCGACGAUCAGUAGCUGGUCUGAGAGGAUGGCCAGCCACAUUGGGACUGAGACACGGCCCAAACUCCUACGGGAGGCAGCAGUGGGGAAGUCUUGCGCAAUGGGCGAAAGCCUGACGCAGCCAUGCCGCGUGGAUGAUGAAGGUCUUAGGAUU